rnacentral:lncRNA from 1 species
CCAGCCCCGCUGGCCUCCCCCUCCCUCACCCCGCCCUGCUCCACCACCUGCGGGGCCGGGGGGCGGCGAGGAACCCGACCGGCCCUGCUACGCUUGCGCCCACCUUCCAGAUGUGGAGGCGCGUGCUCCCAGAUGUUGCCGGGGUGGCUUCGUGAGUGCCCUGAUGCACGCGUGCGCUGGGCGUGGUGCGGAUGGAUGUAGAGAGCCGAGGGAUGGCGCAAGUCUCCACCCAACAUGGAUGAGAAAAGUGGGGCAGAACGUUACCUUGUGGUGGUGGUGGUGGUGGGGUGGGGCUUGGACAUUUUCAAAAGUGGUCCCAGGUGGGGCACUCCUAGGUACUGCUUUACAGCGUAUCUGGCACUUUCACACAAGGGAUGUCCCAGAACUCUUGCUAAGUACAGGUUCUAAUCGCUUCCAAUUUUCUGAUGGGGAAACCCAAGCUGCGAGGGAGCUGAAGGGAGGCCAGUAACAUGACUUCCCCCAAGGUCUCAGUGCCAGCAAGCAGGGAAGCAUAGCUUGAACCCAGCUCCUCAGGUCCCCCGUCCCCACCCCCAUCAUUUGUACUCAUGCCUCUGGUACAUGACAACCUUACAGCGACUGGCAGACCAAUGGGUAGAAUGGGUGACAGCCCCAGGCUGAUAAAGAGGAGUUUAAGAAACGCAUCUGGCCAGAUGGAUGUGAGGCAGUGGAGAGGGACUGAAAUUCUUAACCUCACCUGGGACAGGCUUAACAGUUGGAGGACACCGUGCAAUUGUAAAGACAACAUUAUGUCUUCCUAUACGUUUUGGAGAGAUUCUCACAAGACUGUGGCCCAAAGAAGUUUAUAUUGUAUGUAGAAAGAACAGAAGAUGGGAUUUGGGGGUUAGAUUUAAGGAGAACUUUCCUAGUUAGGGUAUGAAGCAUAAAUGCACAUGUUCUUAGGAACAGUCAGGGGAACACAAAAGAAAGACCCCUUCAGCCCCUUUGCCUACAAGCUUCACUGAGCCUGCCCUGAGGCUGCUGAGCCUGGUGAGCCUCUCCAGCACGCUGUCAGCAAGGCCGAGGCUCUGCCCAGGCCCUGAGGCAGAGGGCAGAUGGGGUUGGGUGAAAAGCCUUGGGAAAGCAGGAGUUCAGGGUCUGAAUGCCUCAGUCUCUGACUUUGGAGAAUUUCUCAGAAGCCAAAAGAUGUUUCUUGCAGCAUCAGCCAAAAUAGUGAAAACUUGGUGGCAAGAAAUAUCCAGCACCAGGGACAGGGGUUAAUCAACCUUGAAAAAUGCAACUGCUGGGACGGUGCUAGCUGAGUCUGUGUAGUCAAUAGAAAAACUUUACAAGAUAGUGUCAGGUGAAAAACGGCAAACAAAAUUGUGCUUCCCAUGAUUAUAGCCGUACGAAAUAUGUAUACUUGCAUGAAGCCUGCAGGGAAAGGUCAGACUUGGAAAUUUGGUAAGGCGGUGCUCAGUAUGUACUGGCUGCCGUCGCUGUGCUUAUCCUCAUUCCCUUUCUUUAAAAAUGAGACAACUGAGGUUCAGAGAGAUGAGAUGACAGGUCCAUGGUCACCCAGUAAGAUUUUUUCUUUUAGUUUGUUUUUCUUGCUUUCAAGGUUUUUUUUUUUCAUAUUUUCUGCAAUGUUGUUAUUUUCUUUUGUAGUUACAAUUUCAGUUUUUUCACACUUUCAGCAAUGCUAUCUUUCUUUUUAGCAGUAAUAAUAUAUUUACUUUUAAAGAACAGGGCUCCUAGUCCUGGCUCUACUACUACUAGUUGUGUGAUUUGGGGGCAGGUUACCAUUCUGCACUUCAGUUUCCUUAUUUCUAAAUGGAAAAGAUAAUAAUAUGGAACCCAGAAGAUUAAGAUGAGAUCAUGGGUAUGAAUGUGCUUUGCAAGUUGGGGAGAUAGUCCAAGCUACUUCAUCCCAUGGGUGACUACACACGGCAGCCCCUUGAUCAAUCAGGGUUAUUUAAUGGUCUCUCCCUCACCCCACAUUGCCUGGUGCAACCCUCACACUUGCCUAUUCUGGGUCAUUUGAAACAAACAAAAAGUCUGGUGUUAAGGGAGCAUCAACUGGGACUAAGAGAGUGUUAAGUCUGGAGUCUUGGGGACUCGUGUUUGCCAUCUCUAGCACAAACUUACUGUGUGACUGUGGACAAAUUCCACCUUUCCCUGCACCUAGGUCUACACUGAGGACAUGCACCACACUGCCCACCAUGUGGGUGGGAGAAUUACUUUGAAAAAGUGUGGAGUCAGGUGCGCACGGAGGCAUGAAAGGACUUCCUUUGUAGUAUAUGGGUUGUAUUCCUGGAAUCAACCCAAAUGCUCAUCAGUAUGGGGCUGGUUCAAACAGACAAAACCCAAACAGACAAAAAACAGAUAUUGUCUGUACUGUGGGAUACUGUGGAGCAAGCGCAGAGAAUAGAGUUAUGCUUACUGGCAGGGGAAGAUGUCCAAGACACAGACGCAGAGCGGUGUGUGGCAUACAAAAUCAUUCAUGUCUGUAACAGGGCUACGUCUGCCUCUGUCGGGGAGAUGCUGGGUCUCUGGUGCUUCCCCACCUCUAGCCAUGCCUUUUGUUUCUCUUGCUAGGGGCUGGAAGAAGGUCAGACUCUGAGAGCUUGCUUUGAGCAAGGGUACCCCGCUCUGAGAAUUCCCAGCCAUUCUCCUGGCAAAAUGAAAACUAGGGCUGGAUUUCCGGGAUUGGAUUCUCACACUCACCGGCUACUGGGUGGGUGUGGCCUCAGGCAGGGUGCAGUAAAGGGGCUGGUGCAGAGCUUCAGAAAAGUCCUUUCCAGAUCCCUUGAGCCAGGGAGGUUAAGGCUGCCGUGAGCCAUGAUCGGGCCACUGCACUCCAGCCUGGGCGACAGAGAGAGACCCUGUCUCAAAACAAAACAAAACAAAACAAACAAACAAAAAGUCCCUUCCAGCUCUGAUGUUGUUCUGGCCUUAGUGCCUUUGUCUCUAUCUGGCUGACUAGGAGUGCCAGUGUUCCAGUGACCAUGGCAGAGGGGGUCAUUACAAUGACAAUGGUGACGUAAUGGAGUGGGGUUAUAGUUGAAGAAAUAAACCCUUUCAAUAACCACAAUCAACAGCGGCCUGGUUAAAAACAGACAAAAGCAAAACUCAUGGUGUGACCUAUACUAUGGAAUAGUGGAGAACAAGUACAGAGCCUAAGUUCGGGUGACCCUUACUGACUGGGAAAGGUGUGUCCUUUCCUGUCUCCUUCAGGUGCUCAAAGCCUGUAUCCACAGGGGAACUUGGAAGACUGUAGAACCAGUGAAAGAGAGGACUGAUGUAGAGACAAAAUGUCUUAACUGGAACCUGGGAGGGAGAAGUGAUCUCCUGUCUCAUCUCCAUCCUGCCCCAUGUCAGGAGGAGGGAAGUAGAGAGAGAAGUUCUUUUGAGAGGGAGCCUGUGCCCAGCCUCCCUGCCUGUCUGUUGUAGAGGUGGCUGGGGGACAGCCACCCAGAAAGGGCAGGUUGUGUGUAGACUGUGUUAGAAAAUCCAUACAAGGGCUUUUUAGGUUUUUAAGAUUAUUUUUUUUUUCCUGUAGAGAUGGAGGUAUUACUGUUUUGCCCAGGCUGGUCACAAACUCCUGGCGUCAAGGGAUCCCCCCCGCCCCCUAACCUUGGCCUCUGAAAGUGUUGGGAUUACAGGUGUGAGCCACUGUGCCUGGCUCACAUACAAGGGCUGUUUUGAAGAAAGGUGUUCUUGUCCCAGGGCAGGGCCUCUAGACAACAGAGGCAGGGGACCCUCAGCCAUACUUGAAUGGCGAGGGUGAGGCAGGAACAAGACGAACUCUCCCCGGUCUCUUGGCAUCACGUAACUGGAGAGGUGGGGAAGGAAAUCCAAGAAGGCCCAAGGCUAAUGUUUUCUGCCAGUCUAGUGGGAUGGGGACUUGAUACAGAAAUUAAAUAACAUUCUUGCUCUUGCCCACUUAAGUUUUGGUCCAAGAUCCCCCUCACGACAGUAACACAAUGCAGAAGGGUAACUCCUACGGAUGGCCUGGUUGCUCUAUACCCUUGAGGCCACUUAAGGUCAAACUCAGCAUCUCCUUGCAUCCUCUAAAACAGCCAACACCCAGUCCAUUGGUUUAAAAAAAUGAAAGCUUUACUGAGCUCUUUACAGAGAGCUAGAAAAGUUGUAAUUCACACAACUCACAGCAGAAACUUAGUAAACCCCCGUAUUUCUCCUGUACCCCCAGUGGUCUUCUCCUUUGUGUGUAUCUCAUAUCUCCUCUUCCUUUCUUCCACACGGUGUCUUUUUUAAAAAACAUGCCCAUUGUGACCCAGAGCAAGUCAAUAUUUGCCUUCAGCUUGCUUACCCACUUAGGACUUCUCUAGCAAGUCUUGCUCCCUUCCCAAGCUGCUGGUCAUCCCCAAACCUGCUCUCUUCCUGGGAAGAUUACUGAGGAUAAGAUUUUCUCCUUUUUGUUUCACCAAUAGUUGUUGAGUGCUUAGUAUAUGCCAACCACUUUACGUGUUUUAAAUCUCACAGUAACCCUGCCUAGUAGUUACAACUAUCGGAGAACUGAGACUCAGAGAGGUUAAGCCCCAUUCCCUAGUGACACAGCUGGAGGAGUUGGUGAAGAAAAGACCCAAACUCAGUGAGGCCUGGCUUCAAAGCCUGUGCUGUUAACCACUUCCCAAAGGGAUCCUGGGGGUAUCGAGGAUUUUUCUGCUUCUGAGACUUUGGCUCCUGAGGAAGGAGCGCAAGGCCCAAAGAACAGACCUUUGGGGAAACCUGUGUAUCUGUGCCUUUUGCCUUUUCUCUGUGUUAGAACCCGAAAGAAAGGCCUAGUUCUGUCACUGUUAUCAGUCGGGGGUCAGAUGGGAAGAUUCGAGGGUGAUGGGGCCCUGCUCCCUGGGGCCUUAUACCCGUGGGUGAAACAGGUACACAAAUGACCCUGCAGUGAUUUGCUUUGGAGACAGCUGCCACUGCUGAUGGAAGGAAAUGUGUGUGAACAGCACGGCGACAGCUCUGGGUCUGGCCCAAUGCUGUGGAAUCCCAUAAGGUGUGCUGGCUGAACCCGCUCCCUGCUCAGGGCCACAGUGUUGCAGACUGUCUCUCAGAGUUCAGCCAAAGAGGACUCUGCUCUCUGGCCCAGCCAGGACCUUGACAGAUGCCUCUGGCUGGCACAGCAUGGCCUCAGCUGUCUGGGCCUGGAGGGUCCUGCUAGAGCUGGGGCCGAGGCCAAGUGAUGCGAGGGCACUGCUCAAUAACUUCCCAUUUCCUGUAUGUUCCUCUCUUCUCCCCAGAGGGACUUCAGCUCCUAUCCCCUGAGCAGAGCUUGCCUAAAACCAAACUCUGUGGUGGGGAAGUUUAGGUCCUGGCAUUACCCC